GCCUCCUUGGCUCAGUUGGUUAGAGCGUCUGCCUAGUAAGCAGAAGGUCCCGCGUUCGAAUCGCGGAGGAGGCA
rfam:Spizellomyces punctatus DAOM BR117 chromosome Tnknown supercont1.8, whole genome shotgun sequence.